UACGAAGGGGGCUAGCGUUGUUCGGAGUUAUUGGGCGUAAAGAGCUCGUAGGCGGCUUGUCGCGUCGACUGUGAAAACCCGUGGCUCAACCAUGUGGUCUGCAGUCGAUACGGGCAGGCUAGAAUUCGGUAGGGGAGACUGGAAUUCCUGGUGUAGCGGUGAAAUGCGCAGAUAUCAGGAGGAACACCGGUGGCGAAGGCGGGUCUCUGGGCCGAUAUUGACGCUGAGGAGCGAAAGCGUGGGGAGCGAACAGG
rnacentral:rRNA from 1 species